UGACAACUGACGGCACUGGAGCAGAGAGGCUGACUCUGCCCGAGGAGACCAGGGAGGCUUGGACCCCAGGCUGGAGGGGGCCGGGGACCCAGACCCACUCACUUGAUUUGGAAGGACACGGGGCUGUCAAACCUAUGCAGGGUCAUCACACCCGGCCCUUCGUUUGUCCCUUUUCGGCCAAGCUCAGGACCCCGUAACCCAGGAAGACAAGCUCGUGGUUCUGAGAUGACCCAGGGAAUUGCCCAAUCCCACCCGACACCCUUGUUCCUUCCUCUGGUCAUUGACGCUCCUCCCAGAUGGCUUCGAGAGCCCCGCAGAUCCUUCCACUACUCCCCAGCCUAGAAGAUCCAGGGACAGAAGCCCUCGAGGUUCUGGCUGGGCCCAUGUGCUGAGAUGCCUCUGAGAAAGCCGUCUGGAUUGGAUCGUCCAUUUGUCCACAGGAUGGCACAGCAGAUGCAACCGUGGGCCUGCGGCCUGGGGUUCCUGGUUGGUGGCCAGGAGAGGCGGCCAGAAGACUCCAUGGCUCCCAGGGCCCGGUCGCAGCUGAGAGGCUCCCCGUCACGACGGCCAAUAGCCCUUUCUCCAGGGACAAGGAUGGGAUGCUACAUGCCGCUCCUGACGCCGUGGCACGGAAUCACGCCACGCGUCCCUUGUUUCCGGAUUUCUCUUCUGUGGCUUAUUGAUGGCACUCAAGCACCGCACAGCAAUGACGUCUGUCCUGGCAGGGCACACGCACUCUGCGUCUGAACGAGUAUUGAGCUAAUUCCAAAGCCCAGCAGAGACGUGGGCGCGCGUUUAUCUGGAGGAGACCAGGCGCGCCGUGGUUGGCUCUGGCCGUGGGACCCUGGGCUGAGCACCGACCCAGGCCACCCCAAGUCACCAAAAGAGGGUAGGGAGGGAUGGACAAAAGUAUUUAUUUUGCCUAUUUUCUUGCCAGUGUCCAGAUUCAAAUGUACUGUUUUUAAACUACAUUAGCACUUUCUGCCCUGUGGCCCGCAAUGAUUGUGCUGUGAUUAUUAAACACCAUAAAUAAGAAUGCAGCAUUUCCCCA
rnacentral:lncRNA from 1 species